AUGCUUGCUUUAGCAGCACAUACAUAUUGAAAACUGGAAUAAUACAGAAAGAUUAGCAUGGUCUUGGUACAAAGAUGACAGGUACAUUCAUAAAGUAUUCUAUAUUUUG
ensembl:snRNA U6 U6 spliceosomal RNA